rnacentral:snoRNA from 1 species
AAACCAUGAUGAGGACACUCUAAGAGAAGAUCUUUAAAACGUUCCAUACACCUAGAAAACGUUUUCAUUGGGUUUUUGUCAAAACCGGAGAAUGGCGUUCCUAAGUUU